rnacentral:snRNA from 1 species
AGAUGCGCCAGUGAUCUGGCUGCAACAUCUGUCACCCCAUUGAUUUCCAGGGUGGAUUCAGUUGAUCUGGCUGGCUAGAAGCGUGCCCCCUUCCUCCCUUACCACUCCAUGUGCAUCCCUUCUGAAGCUGCACACUAAGUCGAAAGGUAAGACCUUCCCCCAAUAGAGACAGACAGUCUCUAUUGGUCAGUGUGUAAGGGCAGCUACACUCCCCUGCUAGAACCUCCAAACAAGCUAUCUUGUUUUAUGCCAUCACUGAAAGGCAAAUCUAGAAAACACCAGGAGAAGUCAGGCACUGUUUCUCU